AUUGAACGCUGGCGGCAGGCCUAACACAUGCAAGUCGAACGAGUGGCGGACGGGUGAGUAAUGUAUGGGAAACUGCCUGAUGGAGGGGGUUACCUACUGGAAACGGUAGCUAAUACCGCAUACCAUCGGAUGUGCACAGAUGGGAUUAGCUAGUAGGUGGGGUAAAGGCUCACCUAGGCGAAGAUCCCUAGCUGGUCUGAGAGGAUGACCAGACACACUGGAACUGAGACACGGUACAGACUCCGACGUGAGGCAGCAGUGGGGAAUAUUGCACAAUGGGCGCAAGCCUGAUGCAGCCAUGCCGCGUGUAUGAAGAAGGCCUUCGGGUUGUAAAGUACUUUCAGCGGGGAGGCGUUACCCGCAGAAGAAGCACGGGGUAACUCCGUGCCAGCAGCCGCGGUAAUAC
rnacentral:rRNA from 1 species